UUCUGUCCAGACCACAGAUAAGAGGUUCUGCAAUACCUCCCUGCAGUCAGUGGAGAAGUAACCAGCCUGUUUACAGAUGACGAUCUUCUAUCGCGCACAAUGAUUUUCAUCUACAUGAUAGUGCCAGUUCUGGUUCUAGCAACAUUGGCAACAGGAAUAAUGGAAUGCAAUUUAACUCAAAGUGAUAAAGACUACAAAUGUUAUGGAGCACUUGGACAACCUCUCAUUUUUCACCUUCCUGUUCGUACAAGGAUAGAUUUAAAAAAAGAAAAGGAAGCAAUUUGUAUGUCUAAAAACAAUGCAAUUUUGGACAUAAGUACCAGGUGCAAUAUAACCAGCAA